ACAGACUAGACCAUUAACCCAUCCCUUCUUUAUACCCUAAACACAUAUUAUCUGAGGAGGAGCUAGACAAAAAAUCGAAAAAAAACACCCUUACACUAAAAAACGACACUCUCAUCUUCUCAAAAGAGAAAAAAAAAACAAAAUAUUCUCGGAGCUAUCACCCCCAAUUCUCUGAAAAUAACAGACCCCUCCUCCUUCCUCUUCUUAUCUCACAAUCACACACGUAGAUAGCAAAAAGGGGAGAUCCAAAUCUCAAAAAACCUAUAAAAAAUCGAAAAGAAGAAGGAAGACAAUAAGAUCUGGAAUCGAUUUUGUACUCAAAAAUAGUUCAAAAUUGAAGUUGAUCUUUCUGGGUUUGAGUUGAUUUUGCUUAAAAGUUGAUGUUCCUGUUGUAGAGAAUCGAGAGGAUUGGAAAAUAUUAAAGACGAAGAAGGCAAGGAACAACUUUUGUCAUGGUGGAGGGAGCGUGGCAAGGCUAUUCCAACAAUUUCAAUUAUGGCCCGAGAUAUCCUGGCUAUUCAAGCAUCAUCAGUAGCAUCGGAGAGUGCUUUUAGCGCGAAAAGAUUUCAAAUUGGAGAUCAUAAACAUGCAUUAGCGGAGGACAGUCUAGAGAUUUCCGUAUUAGGGAAGAAGAAGAAUACAAUGAGAUACUUACCACUGGGAGCAAUGACGGCAUGGAGCUCAUGAAAGAUCAAUCAACAUUGCCAAUUCCAGCAGAAUGUCCGAGAGAUAUUAUUGAUAAGUUAGAAAGAAGCUAUAUAGGAGAUUACAAAUAUUAGUAUGAUAAUUUGUAUUUGGCUACUAAGAGGCCUAGUUCAAACAGAACCCUUCCUAGAAGGUUGUUGCAUAGAUUAGGUGCUCUCAAAAGAAUUAUAUUUGUAUUUGAGAUUUGAAAGUUCUAUUAAUAAAAUAAAAGGCUCUAUGCAUUGAAGUUUU